rnacentral:misc_RNA from 1 species
UCUCCGUAGGUGAACCUGCGGAGGGAUCAUUACAGAGUUUUUGCCCGCAAGGGUAGAUCUCCCACCCUAUGUUAUUCCUUCUCUGUUGCCUUGGCGGGCCGUCCGGCCUCGGUCAGGCCACCGGCUCCGGCUGGUGCGCGCCCGCCAGAGGACCCCAAACCCUAAAUGUCAGUGUCGUCUGAGUACUAUAUAAUAGUUAAAACUUUCAACAACGGAUCUCUUGGUUCUG